AUUGAACGCUGGCGGCAUGCUUUACACAUGCAAGUCGAACGGUAACAGGCCGCAAGGUGCUGACGAGUGGCGAACGGGUGAGUAAUGCAUCGGAACGUGCCCAGUCGUGGGGGAUAACUACUCGAAAGAGUAGCUAAUACCGCAUACGACCUAUGGAUGAAAGCGGGGGACCGUAAGGCCUCGCGCGAUUGGAGCGGCCGAUGUCAGAUUAGGUAGUUGGUGGGGUAAAGGCUCACCAAGCCAACGAUCUGUAGCUGGUCUGAGAGGACGACCAGCCACACUGGGACUGAGACACGGCCCAGACUCCUACGGGAGGCAGCAGUGGGGAAUUUUGGACAAUGGGCGAAAGCCUGAUCCAGCAAUGCCGCGUGCAGGAAGAAGGCCUUCGGGUUGUAAACUGCUUUUGUACGGAACGAAACGGCUCUGGUUAAUACCCGGGGCUAAUGACGGUACCGUAAGAAUAAGCACCGGCUAACUACGUG
rnacentral:rRNA from 1 species